CGGACUGGCGACAACCCCACCCCUACCCCUCCACUCCACCCACGCACAAACACGUACGCCGCGUUGCACAGAGCGCCGCGGCACCACCCACAGUCCAGCGCCGCAGUGCCUCACCCGGCUCGCGGCCGCAGAACGCUCUCCCCCCCCCGCCUGCUCGAAUAUGCCAAAAGGUGACUCGGCGGUGCGCGGGCCAACGAUGACGUCACCGUCAAAGUUGGCUUCGCGCGCACCUCCGGCUCGAUCGGCCAGCAGCUACCGGCGUCCGAACGCGCGGUCAGGCAAGCAGCAGCAAGCAAUCGUCCCAAGCCUUGGGCACAUGGCGCCGCACAGCCCUCCCGUAUCGCGCCCUGCCGCAGCGGCGCGGCCAUGGCUGUCUUCUGCUUCCAUGCGGGGCACACCAGCAGCGCAGCGGAUGCCUUCCACCCACUACGCUGCACGUAACUUCUCGGCUGCGGCGCGGGUCCCACGCCCACCCAAUGCAGAGACGUGCAUAACUCGUCAGACGUGCGUGAGAGCGCUUCCGAGCUCUCAGGCGGCGCCGGCGGCAGCGCCCACGGCAACCGAGGCGCCGGCCUACUACGUUGUCGGCGGCGCCGUGGUGAACCCGCAGCUAAUGGUGUCGCCAUCUGUCCAAGAGGAAAUACGCGAAGUGCGUUCGUUGAGCGUACUUCCUGACGCGCUUCUCCGCCCAGGUAUUGGGCCGCAGCUCAACGAUACCCGCGGCGCGGCGGCAGCGGCUGCCUCGGCCGGCGACGAAACGCAGCGCAAAAGCGGGUCUCCGGACAGAACCCGCGCAUUUGGAGGGACUUGGGGGGCGGCCAGUGGCGGCGCCUCUCGCCGGUCACGCGGACGGGCAGCGUCGCCGACCUGCGCCGCCUCGUCCUCGGUCUGCAGAGGCACAGAUGACGCCGUAGUCACGGUGGAGGCGAUCCGCACCGGUCGCCCUCGCGCCGAGAACGUACCGCUGCUGCAGCAGACCCUCGAAAACACCGCCACGGCGAGCUCGCUCGGCCUUUUGCGUCGCCUCUACGGCACCACAGGCGAGGAUGUGAUCGAGGUUGCCCACACAAACCCGCGCAGCGGUGCGUUGGAGCCGCCACGGCUGCAGUAUCACCUCGCCCAAGAGCUGCUUCCCGAGCUUACGGGGGCCGAAGCACAGCUCAAGACCCUCGCAAGUGCUCGACGGCGCAUUGACUGGGAUGUGAGCAUCCCGACUGCCGACACACUUCCGCCCCCCGCGAUAGCCUUCACGACGGCGAGCAACGGUGCGCCGGUGGCGACGCUGAACUCGGUUCGCUUUAGGGUGGACACAACCACCCUCGUGAUGCAGCGCGAGUAUACGACAGACUCUGCCACAGCCGUUGGCGGCGGCACGCCGGUGGCCGGGGCGGCAGUGGCCUCGGUCGGUGGACGCCCGCGCACAGCGAAGUCUGCGCUCAUGCAUGAGGAAGAAAAUGUCGGCCUCGACAUCACCCGCGAGGACCGCAUUGGUAGCAGUGGGUUGUACUGCAUUCACCAUCUCGUUGGGCUGCGGCCCGGCUUAGGCGAGCAGGUCGGGCUGGAGCGCGUGCUCGAGUACAAGGUGGUCGCGUCAGUGAGAAACCUGUUCGUUGCGCCACCGUACAUCAACGCCAGCACCGGGGACCUUUUCAUGGAGCUCAACACCUCGCUGCAAGGCACCGCAAAGCUCACCAUCACCGGCGUGGACUGCGGCAGCGUGGACCCGGACGCAGGGGCUGUGCUGAAGAGCAGCAACACGCUGACCUGCCAUCUCGUGUUGCAGCAUAGCACGAGCGCAGCUGCCACCAAGGCAGAGCGUGACCAGACGGUCGCCAGCACUAUGGGUGGUGGUGGCACGCAUUACGCACACGUGCCGUCGGCCGCAGCGCGAUUUGCGCGCGCGAUCACGGCCGGAACUGCGGCAAACGCCGCCGCCAUGGCACAGCGCUCUGCUCGCGACAGCAGUGGCGCAGAAGCGCAAGGCGCAGACGGCUUUUCUCUUUCCCUCGCCCACUUCAACCAAGAGGCCACCGGGUCGAUCCCAGCGGCGGUGUCAGGGACCAGUGCAGGUCGUAUAAACCGCACGCCGUCCCCAGCGAAGGACGGCGUGGCCGCCGGAGCACCGAAUCCAGUGGCACAGCUGGAGAAGCAAGCACCCUUAGGCCAGCCGCGGCGCAACAGCCUUGAUGUGCAGAGCAUGGCCGCACGCAACGUCGCAGAAGCGGCGGCGGUGGCCAUCUCGGCAGCUUAUGCACCAGCAGCACAAAACGGCGCCGCGGCAGGUGGAGCUACUCACGACCUCCGCGGAGGGAACGGCACGGUGGGCAAGAAGGCGGACAGCCGGCAUCGCGCCCAUCACUACCUCUUUCCUGCCACCAAUCCACACGAGCUGCGCUACGCCUGUUACACAGAGACAACGCGGCUCCGCCGGCUGCAGCAGCGCAAGAUGCAGCAGGCAGGAGAUAAGGCCGAGCAAGGAGCAGCGGCCCAGAAAUGGUGUCAUCAACAGCCGCGGCGUGCAUCCGCGACCUCGAGCAGCGGUAGUCCGCCGCAGGCGAGAACCACAUUGUCGAAUGACGAGGGCGACAAGGACCUGAGCGGGACAUCGGCGGUGGACUCUGACAGUCGAAGCCAGCCGGCGACAUCGUCGGUCGGCAAGGAACGGAAGCGGCGCAAGCCAAAGGUGGAGGUGCUGGAGCUCGAGCCGCAGUCGGGCACAAACGGGCCUGUCUCAGCACCAGCCACGGCCUCAUGGGAGCCGCAGUGGCCGAACAGUGCGUCAAACAGCGACGGCCAGGCCUCGCCGGCGCACCGCCACGGCGACGGCUCCGAGACGACCCCGGGGAAGAGUGGCGACGUCUGCGACGCCGACGCGGCGGCGAACCGCGAGCUGCGCUGCCCUCCCCUGCCGACCACCUUCUUCUUCAUGGACAGUCUGCAGUCGCCGCUGGGCUACAUGCGGCUGACCGGGUGGCAGGACCGCCUGAUAACCCUGUUCCGCGAGGAGGACAAGGACCUCCUGCGCAGUGAACCACGAACCCGCUUCAAGCACGAGGCCCUUCAGGAACUCAGCGACGGCGCGCUGGCUGGUAUGAUCGCCAACUUGUACUUGUGUAACGGCGGCAUCGGCAACAGCAGCGUCAGUGGCAGUGGCAGACGCGCAUCCGUGCACCCCCGCCGCGGGUCCUCCACAGCAGCGUCGCGCAACUUGAGCGGUGGCGCCGACAGCAUCUUCUGUCACAGCAGCCCCAACAUCAACAACCCCUUCGCCAUCCUCGCAAACCGCGGCGGCGUCACGGCGAACGGCUGCAGCGCCGGCGGCGGCGUUCAGCUCAAGGCCUCGGUCGAAGUGACAACGGAAAAGACGUUUGCGAUGCUGCGGCGGCUCAUCUUGUGCUUGGCAGUGGAAGAGGAACGGGCGUCGACGCAGCUGUACAACGACACGGUGCAGCUCUGCAACCAGUUCUGCCACAGCGCCUUGCUUAAGACAACGGCCCUAACGCGCGGCACCCGAGAAGGGCUGCAACAAGCGGCAGCGGCGAUCCUGUCUGCUGGGUCGCCUGCCUCGCCAAGGAAGGUGUGCACGAGCGGCGGUGGGCCUGACGGCAACGCGAGGCUCUCUGGGAAGGACAUCGAGUUACUGCGCUCGCUGGAAGACGCACUGGAGCUGUCCAUGACGACCAUGCUGAUUGUCGGGGCCUACGGCGAGGCCGUCGAGUACGCGCUUCAGCGUGUCCACACGCUGUGCCUGCUGGAGGGUGAUACGGACGCGCUGGUGAACGCGGCGCAACGCGACUUGGCGGAGGCGUACUUUUUCUACGGCGACUACGUCACAGCCGCCACAAUCGCCGAGGAUGUCGUGAUGCUCACGCGUCAGCUCUGCGACGACGUCCCCGACGCGUACGAGGUGGUCGAGGCAGAGCUGCUGUGUACCGUCGCCUGUGUCGCGGCCGGUAAGCGCGAUCGGCUUCCACACUACAUAGAUAACCUCGAGCUCAACAUGCUUCCAGUGGACCAUGGCAGCGACAGUGUGGCGCGCGCGGCGCAGCCCCUACAACAAGCGCAGCUGCGCCUUGUGCUGGUGUUCGCGAAGACGUACCUCGGGCGUAGCGGGCCCGUCGGAGCCACGGCGGGCGCUCUCGCCGCCACCGGGGCAGCCACCACCGCCAACGACGACAUGCAGCAGAAGCGCAGUGCAGCCGGCAGCGCAUUACCUGUCAGCACGGGAGACAUGGUUACACUGUUGCGGGAAGCGGUGCAGCUGCUUCGCGGCAGAGGCGACCUACAGGAGAUGGAGCAGGGCUUCUUCACGGUGUUCCCGAGCCAGGUGCGGCCGUCCAUAGCAGGCGACGGUGAUGAUAGCGGCACCUCCACGAUGCUGCACACAUGUGGGCGCGGACGGGGGGCUUUCACGACGGGCCGCGGCUCCGCUAAGCCGGUGCGAGUUUUCGGCCACCCCAGCGCCUUGAGCAGCGGCGAAGGCGAGGAUUCCGGCGACGUCGCAGCCAAGAUGGAAGCGGCGCAGAAGCGGCUGCGGUGGAACUUGCUGUGCUUUGCGGGCGCGCAGCUCCUCCAGAACGACCACGAGCAGGAAGGCAUAGAGGUCGUAGAGAGCGCUGUAAAGGAGCUGGUGCUCGGCAAGCAUCGCCACGUGGAGCGCCAUCAGCGCGCCACCCUUGCGGCGGUGCUGUGGGUGGGACUUAUGCUCGCGAAGAGCAGAAUGCAGCCGGGGCAGGUGACAGAUAUCAUGCCCAUACUGAAGGAGAUGGCUGACCGCGUCGUCCGCACCCGCGGCCCUCUGCACCCGCUUGCUGCCAGGGCCAACCUGCUCUACGCCUACGUCGAGCACUACGUGACCAAUAGCCGGCACAGCGCCGGCCUGGCCACGCGCAGCAUGUCCGCCUUGGAGCGAGGGGUCGGGCCGCAGUCCUACGACCGGCUCAUGGCCCACUACGUGGUUGGAUUGAUGGCCGAGGCACAGCAGCGUUGGCGGCCUGCCAUCGAGCACUUGAGCGCUGCCUACGCCAUUGCGCAGACAAACCGCUUGGCCGAGGACGACUUGAUCUUGAUGGACACGCAGUUCCUGGGCGCGGUUCUGCUUUGCCCGCCGACGGCGGUGCUUGAUCUCGACAUGGCCACUCUUUGCGCGCGGUUCGAGGAGCGCCUGCAGCGCCUGCGAGAGCGCGUCGGCCCGCACAGCGAGAGACUUGUGGUGCCGCUGUGGAACACGGCGGAACUGUUUUACUUGCUAAAGAACACGGACAGUGCCAUCGAGUGCCUGCAGCAGACUACGCGGCUGCUGGACCGCCGCGGCGUCCUGCUCGUAUCCACCGAUGUGCUGAAGCCAAAGGAUGUGCUUAUGUUGGAGCAGCAAGAGGCGAUGGGUAGCAGCGCUGGUAACGAGGGUUAUGGCGGCAGGGCUGUCCGAAGCUGCGCUGCGCAGGCCGCCGAGGCCCGCGAGCGAGGCGAGCACCUCGUGGCCCAGCGCAACGCUCUCGUUCAGACAUCCUUCGACACCGUCUCGCAGGCCUUACACCUUGCCGCGACGCUGUUCAUGUGGGCAGCCAUGCUUGAGUCGCAAGGCUGCACGACCGAAGCUCGAGAAAAAUACGGUCAGUCGCUCGCCCUCUACGAGGCGUCCCACCUCGGCGACAACUCGCUCGCCGCCGUGCGCAUCAUGGAGGCGCUGUCCAAGUUGCUCUAUACUGUCGGUGAGUGCGGCGAUGCUCUGAUAUGGGCGCGCAAGGCGGUCGAUCUGCUGCACAUCCACUACCCAAAAGAAUGGUCGCUGGAGCACGCGGCGGCGCGGAAGCUCGUGGACGCCACGGAGCAUCGUCUGCUUGUGGUGGAGGGCACGUACGUGGUGCAGAGCGGGCUGCCCACUCACAGCGAGUUUGUGGAGCUCCUGUGAAGCAUCGGGAGAUGGUGUGGCACCUCCAUCCUGGCGCGCACAUGUACAGUAAGGUACGCAACCAAGUACCAUAAUGCAUCCACCCACGAUUUCUAGUAGCGCUUCCACGCGCUCGUUUCUGUAUCGACAUGAGCGCACCACGCGCGCACACACAGCGAUGCAUCAGCUUCUCUCCGUGCGCACUUAUCCGAGCCGCGCGCAGCCGUCCUCAUGGAACCCCCGCUUUGGGCGUCCGUGUCUGCGUGUAUCUUGGGACGAGUCAAAGGCUCGUCUGUGUGGACGUGUAUGUCUGUGCAAGCUGCACGCGUGGCCGGUGUCGUCACUGGUGCUUUCCCACCACCACCACCACCACCACCACCACCACACCCCACCUCUUCCUAUCACGAGCGUGCCUAUACAUCUAUAUGUGUAUCUGUAUGUAUCCAUCCGCUUCCCUUUCCUUCCCCCGACUCCUGCUGCUGCUGCUGCUGCGACCGCUCGUUCCAAUGGUGUGGCGUUAUAUCAACGGCGCCGAUGACAUUUUGAAUGUGGGAUGCGCGCAUGUGUGCUUUACAUAGUGGUGGUGGUUCGCAUAUGCCUCCGCGCAUAAAUACACACGGCCAAGCACACACACGUUUGUAUAUAUAUAUGUGUGUGUAUACAUAUAUAUAUAUAUAUGUAUAUGUAUAUAUGUGUGCGUGUGGCUGUGUGGGAGCGCGAACGAUGUAUGCUAGCAGGCUAUUUCUUUUAUGACCGUUUCUUUGUUUUGUUUUCCUGUCUUCGUAAUUGUGCGAGGCUUCGUGAUGGAGCCGGUGGUGAUACAGUAACUUCACGGGGGUAGAUGGCAUGCCCUCCAUGUUGUGGCACAUGUGGUGUGUGUGUGUGUGUGUGUGCUUGGCAUUGUUAUCGAUGGUCGCGAGAAAGACGCAAAACGUCGAGAAUAUGUUUAUGUAUGGUAUAGCGUAUCUCUCACUCGCUGCCCCAGCACACACUUGUCGACGCCGCAUACACCUACAAACGCUAAGGGCACAUACUGAAAAAAUCACUGAGACAUGCGACACAUGUGUCGCGGGGCGUCUCCCUACCGAAUGUCUGUGUAACAGGGGGAUGAUGGGCAAGCAAGGGCAUCAUCCACGGCGCUCUCGCUCGACUCUCCCUCCACGAUCACCACCCCUCCCCUUCGGUUGUAUUGGUCGUCUCCCAUGCAUGCAAAUGCGCGCCUGCGACGCCGCACCUACUCUCGCGCGCGCGCGCGCGUCGCUCAG
rnacentral:misc_RNA from 1 species